AUACGGAGGGUGCGAGCGUUAAUCGGAAUUACUGGGCGUAAAGGGUGCGUAGGCGGCUUGAUAAGUCGGAUGUGAAAGCCCCGGGCUUAACCUGGGAAUUGCAUUCGAUACUGUCAGGCUAGAGUAUGUCAGAGGUUGGCGGAAUUCCUGGUGUAGCGGUGAAAUGCGUAGAUAUCAGGAGGAACACCAGUGGCGAAGGCGGCUAACUGGGGCAAUACUGACGCUGAGGCACGAAAGCGUGGGGAGCAAACAGGAGUAGAAACCCUAGUAGUCC
rnacentral:rRNA from 1 species